GACGUAGGGCGCGAGCGUUGUCCGGAUUUAUUGGGCGUAAAGAGCUCGUAGGCGGCUUGUCGCGUCGACUGUGAAAUCCCGCGGCUCAACUGCGGGUCUGCAGUCGAUACGGGCAGGCUAGAGUUCGGUAGGGGAGACUGGAAUUCCUGGUGUAGCGGUGAAAUGCGCAGAUAUCAGGAGGAACACCGGUGGCGAAGGCGGGUCUCUGGGCCGAUACUGACGCUGAGGAGCGGAAGCGUGGGGGAGCGAACAGG
rnacentral:rRNA from 1 species